GAUGAACGCUGGCGGCGUGCCUAAUACAUGCAAGUCGAGCGAAGCGGGGACGGGUGAGUAACACGUGGAUAACCUCCCAUAUGACUGGGAUAACUUACGGAAACCGGAGCUUAUCCCGCUACUUAUCGCUGGAUCGGUGUUGCAGUAGCUAGUUGGUAGGGUAACGGCUUACCAAGGCAACGAUGCAUCGCCGACCUGAGAGGGGGAUCGGCCACACUGGAACUGAGACACGGUCCAGACUCCUACGGGAGGCAGCAGUAGGGAAUCUUCCGCAAUGGGCGAAAGCCUGACGGAGCCACGCCGCGUGAGUGAUGAAGGCCUUCGGGUCGUAAAACACUGUUAGUGGGGAGGCGUUACCUAAACAGAAAGCCCCGGCUAACUACGUGCCAGCAGCCGCGGUAAUAC
rnacentral:rRNA from 1 species